GAUGAACGCUGACAGAAUGCUUAACACAUCAGCAAUUGAUUGGUGGCGGACGGGUGAGUAACGCGUAAAGAACUUGCCUCCCAGGUAGGGACAACAUUUGGAAACGAAUGCUAAUACCUCAUACUGUGAGAGAGCUUUGCGUCCCAUUAGCUAGUUGGAGAGGUAACGGCUCACCAAGGCGAUGAUGGGUAGCCGGCCUGAGAGGGUGAUCGGCCACAAGGGGACUGGGACACGGCCCUGACUCCUACGGGAGGCAGGAGUGGGGAAUAUUGGACAAUGGACCAAAGUCUGAUCCAGCAAUUCGGUGUGCACGAUGAAGUUGUCGGAAGGUAAAGUGCUUUGAGUUGGGAAGCGGUACCAGCAGAAGAAGUGACGGCUAAAUACGUGCCAGCAGCCGCGGUAAUUC
rnacentral:rRNA from 1 species